ACAACCGCUUAUUGACGGACACGUCCCGCAGCGGCUAGCUAGACAACGAGCUAACCUAGCUAGGCUAGCUAGCUGAGUGGCUAGUUGUCUGGCUCGUUAGCAGCUAGCUAGCGUUCUCUUUAUUUCAAGUUGAACAGGAGUUUUCCUGUGUUGUGUUCAGGCACCACCGCGGCAAUCAGAAGCGUGUAAACUUGACAACUUUCUUGUUUAAGCUAACGGUAAUAUGUUUCACUUUUGCGUAGCUAGUUAAACGAGCUGUCUUUAAACCGUCUCAUUGUUGAAUGGCGUUCGCUAAGGUACGUUUAGAUUUCCCGACGUGCAACGCGCGCUCACAGCUCGGUGACAGUGGAGACUGACGGUGGCUGUGCGGUUGCUAGGCUACGUCACUGCAUUCACUCACCUCACCGGAUCAUCGGCCCGAUCGCCCCCCUCCUCCUCUCUCCUCCACCCACAGGAGGAAUCUGGGCCGUCUCGCGUUACAGGAGGCCUGAGUCUGGACCUCCUGCACAUUCAGUCCCACCACCAUCUAUAACGCAGUACGCCGAGGACACAAACAGCCCUCGGAGAUGCUGCACCACCUAUAGAGGCGGGUGAUGACUCAAGCAUCGCAAUCAUAGAUAUAUGCAGGUAUGUAUCUAGUCUCAGAGGUCUCCAUUCAGACGGGAAGUGCUGCACAGGAAGCUGCCGGAUGCCUCGCAUUCAACACAUUAAUUAUCUAUGUUCACAUCUGAAUUCCAACGGAGACGAGUGCACCGCUUCCCAGAUGCUCAUUGAUGGGCUACGAGGUAUUUGAACUACUCCGGUGAAUGAUUUCCUACUUUUUAAGGAUCUUUUACUCUGAAACAGUUUUAGAAAUGUGUCUGAGCGGCACCACCGGGCUUAUGGAUAAAUAAAGGCCGGUACCAACGCCCUAAACGUCCUCCCUUUAAAUGUCCCAUUCAUCUCUGGAUUAUGAGUUAAAGUGGUGACAGAAGUUCAACAAUCAGUCACCGAUGCCCUAAUGUGCUGAUGCAUUGUGGUCCACGGAGGCUCCUGCUGGUUGAAUGUCUCCGUGUAAAAGUGCUGAAUGAGGAACAAAAAGACACAAAAGUGUUUUAUCAGCCUCACGCAACGACCCGUCAAAAGAGAGUUUCUGUGUGUUUUUCUUUUUCUUCUUGUCUCUGGUUGAACUUUCGUAGUUAAAACAAAAGGUGAUGUCGCAGUUUGCGUCUCAACAUUUAGGCUCAAACACAGACUUAAGAGUUUUUGUCAAAUAACAACACAUUUCUGUUGUUUCGUUGCUUUAUUAGUAGUGAUCUUUAUUAGUGGUUGAAAUAAAAUAGUUCCUUCAGGCUCUGUCGAAACCGAGUCAGCUUGAGUUAGUCCCAUUACAUUGGAGAGAAGACAGACGUCUUCAGGGCAACAAACAUAUAGCAAACCUUUGUCUCUCUUUGGCUUUGGGUCAUACAUGUGGUGAAUCUUUGAACCUUGUAAUGUUCAUGUAGAGCACAGUGUUAUAUUUAAUAAACUGAAAUUAUAUAUAUAUAUAUAUAUACAGAUAUCGCUUCCAUAUCGUCUACAACCAUCCAUCACUGGCAGCAGGAAGAUAAAGGUUAAAGGUCCAUAAAACGACAGCGUACGCGAGUAAGUGAAGACAUAAUGUGACUUACGUAGUCACGUUAAAGCAUGAAGAAUGAUUAGAAGUAGAUAAAAGCACAAAACAAGAUCACAUAUCCAUGAAGAGGAAGUUUGAAAGCUCAAACCCAACCACCUGGAACCCAAGGGUGCGCAGAUGAAUCCAGGCUAGCUGUGUUAGCGGGAUAAGCUAGCAGACAGAUACGAUCAAACCUGGACUUUUAUCUUCUCAAUAGAUGGAUUGACUGGUUGCUUACAAUUUAACAUGAUCAGAGAAAAGCUUAUUGGAAUAUUGGAGAACGAUGGGCGGUAAAAUUGAGUUUACACUCAUAGUUAAACUGU